rnacentral:lncRNA from 1 species
CGGCAUUUUUAAGGUGAAUACCGGUAUUAAUACCGGCGAAAAUUUGGACGGUAUCUCGGUUUUCGGUAUACCGGUAUUGCAUUCCCUAGUAGAAUGUAAGUCUGUUGAAAAUAUAAGUUUACUACCUAGUGGUUUAUGUACAAGUAAGUCUAAAAAUUCGUGGGAUUCCUUUACUAAUUGAGUGUAGAUCUAGGCGCAAAAUAUUUUUGACCUUUUUAUAUCCCGUGACCUUCGACUUCACCGCUUCAAUGGCGUUUUUCAUUUGGUCAGUAUUCCAUGUUUUGCUUUACUUCGAAUUUGGAGAUAAUCCUUUCAUUCAUUAUCUUUAAAAUAUCAAAAUACCGGUUGUGUCGAUAGGUUUUAGCAAAUAAAAUACAUUUUUUAUAACUUUCAAAUACUAAAUAGAAAAUGAAAAAUAAAGAAAUGUGACAUUUAUGUCAUAUUGUGCUAUAAAGUUUUAGAGUAGUCCAUUUGCUGACUAAGAAGUAUCGGAUAUUUUGAAGUAACAGUUUUGUUUAUUAUAGCAACGCUACGCCACAUUUUUCGCACUGUGAAGGUCACCGAAAGUGUGUUUGAGGACGAUUUUAGGCUAAUAACCCAAAACAGGCGUUGACCUACUGCGGUUUGGUGUUUGGCGCGUAAGGCAAGAAUGGCAACGUGAAAGAAUUCCGGCACAAACAGAGACAACUAUGGUUAACAGAAAAACCCAGAAUCUUUAUUGAGAAGAGAGAGUAAUAUUACACGUUGGAGGCACAAUCUCCAAGGAGGAUAAAUACUUUGACCCGUUGGGAAAAUUAUUCAACAACCGAUGAAUAAAGGCUUCCUCUUCUUUCUUUCUCAACACAGUCUCUAAUACAAUUUAAAUUUCCUCUUGUCCCUUCUCUUUCUCCUCUCCUUUCCCAAAAAUAACAAUAAUUUACCGUACAAUUGACUGAAACUACUAGGCGAGCCCGGGGCUGUGCUAUUUCUCUCGAUGUUGCGACUUCUAUUUCGGCCUGAGCUUCUCGACGAAUUUUCCUCUUACUGCCUCAAAUAUUUUUCCUCCGACUGCCCAGAUCUUAUCAACCCGCGGAUAUAUUUUCCUCCCUAUCUUAUGCGAUAUAGGAGGGUUUUCUCUGUUCGCAUUCCAGGAGUUCCAUUUCCCGUCAUCUGUGUGUCACACGAUUCCCUCGAUGUCAUCGUGAUUUUCCCCAAAUUGCAAUUUUUUUUUCUUUAAUUUGGAACGGGUGGACGGAAACCCUCGGACCGUAAACAUGACAAGUUAAUGUGUUAUAAACGGAGCGUGUUAUUGAAACGUCGUUACUAUUCAAUUCAAUUGGCGACUCGUGCUAUCUCGUGAUAUUCUCGGUCUAGGAUACCAGGCCAUAUGACAGAUUUAUCGUUUUGUUUUCACAACUUGUGUCGUUACGACAUUCCGAUACAAUAAACAAACCUGGUUCUACACCUGGACGUCCAGUUAACCGGAGGAGACCUGAAUAGGUUCUCCGAUACGCGUCUGUGCAUGGUAUUAACAACGGAUGUCAAUUUUAAUAUACAUAUCUAACAUACAAUAAUCGGAGGAAACCUGAAGAGGUUCUCCCUACGCCCCUGUGCAUAUUAUUGAUAACGAAGGUGGUCGGUGGAGACUCCACAGUACAAUGUCAGACACCAUUACGUCCUGUAUAUUUACAACUGAUCUCAGCCGGCACUGGCCAGUGAUCGACUUGAUCCUGUCUUACCGCCUCUGGAGGAAUAUAGAGUUGGGUCUUAACUUUUUUACUUGGAUUUGGAAUACCGUUUGAAACAGUAUCUACUUCUUCAAGUCAUGGCGUUAAUAGUGACACUUCGAUUUUUGGAUUGUCUGCACAAGGUCUUGAUCAUAAAUAUAAUAUUUAAUUUCACGAAUAUUUUGCAACUGCUAGAGAUCCAGUUAUAAUAAAUCUGAAUUAAAAAAAUUUGGACCAAAUUCUUUUAUGCGAAAAAGUCUGAAGGAUCAGCAUGUUUGCCUUGGAUUCACAAACAUUUAACACAUUAUGCAACAGUAUAUCUUGGAAAAAAUGGCGAUAAUAAUCAAAUUCCAA